UUCAUCAAACUCUCUCCGCCGUGCAACCCUCUUCAAUCGCCGUCAAUAACUCAUACACCGUGGAUUUCAUCUUCACACGCUGUUCACCUUCAAACCUCACGAUUCCGAUUCCGCGGUGCAAAUCUCCAAAGCCAACUCACGAAUCAACGAUCUCUACCAACCUAUCCAAGCAUCUCUCCGUGUCAAUCAAUCGACUCGCAACCCACCCUUUGCGAGUUAUCACUUUUG
rnacentral:lncRNA from 1 species